rnacentral:rRNA from 1 species
AGUGAACGCUGGCGGUAGGCCUAACACAUGCAAGUCGAACGGCAGCACAGGAGAGCUUGCUCUCUGGGUGGCGAGUGGCGGACGGGUGAGGAAUACAUCGGAAUCUACUCUGUCGUGGGGGAUAACGUAGGGAAACUUACGCUAAUACCGCAUACGACCUACGGGUGAAAGCAGGGGACCUUCGGGCCUUGCGCGAUUGAAUGAGCCGAUGUCGGAUUAGCUAGUUGGCGGGGUAAAGGCCCACCAAGGCGACGAUCCGUAGCUGGUCUGAGGGGAUGAUCAGCCACACUGGAACUGAGACAUGGUCCAGACUCCUACGGGAGGCAGCAGUGGGGAAUAUUGGACAAUGGGCGCAAGCCUGAUCCAGCCAUACCGCGUGGGUGAAGAAGGCCUUCGGGUUGUAAAGCCCUUUAGUUGGGAAAGAAAUCCAGCUGGCUAAUACCCGGUUGGGAUGACGGUACCCAAAGAAUAAGCACCGGCUAACUUCGUGCCAGCCGCCGCCGUAA